rnacentral:rRNA from 1 species
UACGAAGGGGGCUAGCGUUGCUCGGAAUCACUGGGCGUAAAGCGCACGUAGGCGGAUUGUUAAGUCAGGGGUGAAAUCCUGGAGCUCAACUCCAGAACUGCCUUUGAUACUGGCGAUCUUGAGUCCGGGAGAGGUGAGUGGAACUGCGAGUGUAGAGGUGAAAUUCGUAGAUAUUCGGAAGAACACCAGUGGCGAAGGCGGCUCACUGGUCCGGUACUGACGCUGAGGUGCGAAAGCGUGGGGAGCAAACAGG